CGUCGGCGGCGGGGGCCUUUCCUCGUCUUUUGCGGCCCUGGGUGUGCGGCGCUACUCCUGUGUUCCUGGGGCUGGUACCCUGCGGGGGCCACUCGGGGGGUUUCCCUCGUUUGCGGAAAAAAUUCUCUUUUGGGAUUGCAGUCUGCAACCCGCCUGCAUGAAGCUGGAAUCGCUAGUAAUGGCACAUCAGAACGAUGCCGUGAAUACGUUCCCGGGGCGCGUACACACCGCCCGUCACAUCACGAAAGUGGAUUGUACUAGAAGCGUGCCCGCUAACCCGCAAGGGAGGCAGCGGUCCAAGUAUGAUUCACGAUUAGGCAAUAGGGGGNAGUUUAAAUCCCACGGCCAUGGCGGCCGGGACAGACGGACUGGGCGCGUUUCGCCCUANCGACNGUGUGUG
rnacentral:rRNA from 1 species